UAUUGUCCUUACGCAUUACACAAAGAUACUUGUUGAAAGAAAAUGUUAUCUAGUGUGUGAGUUAGAAGGUCGUCGUUUGUUCUUCCGUAUAGUUUUCCUAAUGAUUACGAAAAACCGGGAAAAAACGUAAGAAUUACGGCAAAGUGUGCGGCAAUUGGUUUUUUUUAUGUUGUUAUUCGGUUAAAAAUUAUUCUAGAGUCCCGUAGUUUUCACAAAGUACUUUUAUUAAUCUUGUGUAGACGUGGUGAUAUUGUCAAAACAUUCUAGCUAUUUUUAGGUAUU